UCCCUUGUGGCUCAGCUGGUAAAGAGUCCGCCUGCAAAGCGGGUAGCCCUGGGUUCGAUCCCUGGGUCGGGAA
rnacentral:tRNA from 1 species